GUCGCUUUAGCGGAGUGGUUGACGCGCUGCCCUGCUAUCUGUUCUGAUCAGCCGGCUAGAACAACCGUACAGGUAGUUCCUUCGGGAGCGUAGGUUCGACUCCUGCAGGCGACG